rnacentral:rRNA from 1 species
UGGGGAAUAUUGGACAAUGGGCGCAAGCCUGAUCCAGCAAUGCCGCGUGAGUGAUGAAGGCCUUCGGGUUGUAAAGCUCUUUCGCACGCGACGAUGAUGACGGUAGCGUGAGAAGAAGCCCCGGCUAACUUCGUGCCAGCAGCCGCGGUAAUACGAAGGGGGCUAGCGUUGUUCGGAAUUACUGGGCGUAAAGGGCGCGUAGGCGGUACUUCAAGUCAGGCGUGAAAGCCCCGGGCUCAACCUGGGAACCGCGCUUGAGACUGGAGAACUAGAGUUCGGGAGAGGAUGGUGGAAUUCCCAGUGUAGAGGUGAAAUUCGUAGAUAUUGGGAAGAACACCGAUGGCGAAGGCAGCCAUCUGGACCGACACUGACGCUGAGGCGCGAAAGCGUGGGGAGCAAACA